UUCUGCCCUCCGAAUUCAUAUUCGUUUUAUAAAUAGGACCUUUAAAUUUUGUCUGGCUUGCCGUUCCAAAUAAAAUUGAAUAUUUUUUGUUCAUAUAAUUUAAAAAGCAGGUCAUUAGGUGUAGGAAAAACCAUAACCAAAUAGGUAAACUGUGAUGUGACUAAUCAAAAUUAUGUCAUGCCCCCCUUGUGCCAAGUUCCAUGUGUAAAUAGCCCCUCCGCUUCCCUUCAUUGAAUGGGGCGCAGUUGUUUCAUAAUUCCCAAUGCGUUGAAAAGAAAGCAGACUGAAAAGCCCUGUAAGGAUUGACCAUGACUCCACAGCCAAAGUUCUAUGGUUUUCAUUCUUUGCCGAAGGACCGGAGAAUCUGGAAUGGCUUGUAGGAGUUCGUCGGUCCCAAUGUUUGCACCAGUAAGGCUAGCUUGGUGUGCAACGACCGGGGGUGCCCCUCCCAGUCAACACCACCUCAUAAUAUGAGGAAGUGCAUUGUUUAUAAGGAUUGCCUGCUGCAGUUGUUUGGGAGAUAUUCAGUUUGCAGCUGAACAUGCAACAAGGGGACCCUCAGCAUCACGCAGACAUGCCCUCACUUUGAGCAUUGCUAUAAAUGGAACAGGAAGGACACUUGAAUCAGGUUGGUGAUGUUUGACCUGGUCAUAGUUUGUCCCAAUUCACCUUCUGAUCGCUAUGUUUACCAUUCUCACUUCACAUAUCAUGAGAACGGAAGUGAAAUAGAAAGGUGAAUGCAGCAAUCGGGUUGGUUCCACCAUGUUAAUAAUAACCACCAUUGAUAACGUAAGCAGUGCACUGUGUGUGUGUGUUUGUGUGUGACAAACCAGUAUCUUUGAUGAGGGGCCAGGAGCUACUCUGCCAUGCCCAUCAAGGGGGCACUGGCAAAGUCCUUACCUCCAGCCUCACCUCCUGCCUGCUCACCAACGGUCGUUGAUGGGGAGACCAGAAUUGAAUACAUCUAUGGAGACAGAUCUUCAAGACUUGCAAGAUGAUGUGAUGAAGUUCAGACCGACAGACUGGCUUGAUAUUGAUGUCUCUGGAUGGAGAGAGACCUGGCAUGCAACACAUCCACAAUAUGGGACUGAAGGGGAUUACUAAAAAUACAGUACAGCAGAAAUGUCCAGCAUUUGCAACACCCUUUUCGUUAUAUGUGUCACUAAUGAACUUUUCCUCAACUCUGCCUAUUUCUACAGAUGGAGAGAACUACAGAUGCUUUUGCCAAAUGCCAGACCUGUUCAAACAUCAACAUAGUACCUGUUUGUGUGUCAGAUAUUACCCAUCCUAACUGCCAUUGGUAAUAGAACAGUGACUAUGUGUUCUCAGAAAAAUAAAAAGAGCCAGCACAGAGACUUGCAAGAUGAUGUCCAGACUGACAGACAGGCUUUAUACUGAUGUCACUGAAUUGAGAGAGACCUGGUACUCGGCAUUAACAUUUUACUAGACACAACUUUUACUUGAAUUGUAUUUUUUUUAAGUUAUUGAAUUGAAUGGUGUCUGUCAAUAUGGGGAGGGAGAAACCCUGUGUAUUCUGCACCAUGAUCAGGGAACUGUUGUAUACAGGACACCACACAGGAAGGUAUGGCCACUGACAUGUUUGCCAAGGUACUUACCACCUAACAAAAUGCCGAUAGGCACAGUAUCUGUAUCGGCUGGGAAUGACAAUGAAACGUGAAAGGUCACUUAGUUAAAUUAGCAGAACACUGCAUCUAUAGUAUUAUGUAAAGGGUUGUUUGUUCUACAUGAACCUGCUACUACAUUUGAAAGCUAUUAAAACACUUUGUUUAUAAUACGUACAUACAUUCAGGAGGCUACUGACCUAUUCAAAGCAUCUCACCAUACAUCUGCCUGCAGUUAUUGAACUCAACCUGCAGGAGGUUUCCCACUGGGCACAGACUCCAGUUCAACGUCUAUUUUUUAUUUACAUUUGGUUGAGUUGUCAACUAAUGUGAAUUCAACAUUAAAUCAACAAAACAUUUCACCAUGUCAUUGGAUUUAGGUAAUGGAAAUACAAAAUGCUCUUAUGUUGAUGACUUAAAAAAAAAAAAUCUCAUCAGUUUUCCACAUAGAAUUUUUUUGUUGAAAUGACAUGGAAACAAUGUUGAUUCAACCAGUUUUUGCCCAGUGGGUUGUUUGUUGUGAUUGGAUGGGGGAAAACAGCUGCAGGCAAGGUUCUGACAGGUGUGUGUGUGUUGGUGGUGGCAAGGACACACCUAAGAAACACCCACAUCAAACCACACUCCCAAUCCAACUCAUGAUUGGCUUCUGUCAUGCCCGCCAGCAUUUCUUGAGGAGGAAGACAAAAAAAGAGGCAAAUUGGCGGGUGAAGUUCCCCUUUAAAUCCAUAAAUAAUUGUUAUUUUACUGACAAUGUUUUGUUUGUUUUCUAAAUAUUCUUGCCGCCUUUCUUUUUUAAAUGAUUGACCGCUGGAAUAUUCCCCAUGUAUCUAAUCAUAUACCCUUGAAGUAGGAAGUUUACAUACACAUUAGCCAAAUACAUUUAAACUCAGUUUUCCACAAUUCCUAACAUUUAAU